CGGGUGAGUAACGCGUGAGGAACCUGCCUCAAAGAGGGGGACAACAGUUGGAAACGACUGCUAAUACCGCAUAAGCCCACAGCUCGGCAUCGAGCAGAGGGAAAAGGAGCAAUCCGCUUUGAGAUGGCCUCGCGUCCGAUUAGCUAGUUGGUGAGGUAACGGCCCACCAAGGCGACGAUCGGUAGCCGGACUGAGAGGUUGGACGGCCACAUUGGGACUGAGACACGGCCCAG
rnacentral:rRNA from 1 species